AGUGAACGCUGGCGGUAGGCCUAACACAUGCAAUUCGAACGGCAGCACAGUAAGAGCUUGCUCUUACGGGUGGCGAGUGGCGUACGGGGUAGGAAUACAUCGGAAUCUACUUUUUCGUGGGGGAUAACGGAGGGAAACUAACGCUAAUACCUCAUACGACCUACGGGUGAAAGCAGGGGAUCUUCGGACCUUGCGCGAUUGAAUGAGCCGAUGUCGGAUUAGCGAGUUGGCGGGGUAAAGGCACACCAAGGCGAAGAUCCGUAGCUGGCGUGAGAGGAUGAUCAGCCACCCUGGAACUGGGACACAGUCCAGACUCCUACGGGAGGCAGCAGUGGGGAAUAUUGGACAAUGGGCGCAAGCCUGAUCCAGCCAUGCCGCGUGGGUGAAGAAGGCCUUCGGGUUGUAAAGCUAUUCUGUUGGGAAAGAAAAGCAGAAGGUUAUUCCCGCGCCGUUCUGACGGUACCAAAAGAAUAAGCACCGGCUAACUUCGUG
rnacentral:rRNA from 1 species